rnacentral:misc_RNA from 1 species
AAGUCGUAACAAGGUUUCCGUAGGUGAACCUGCGGAAGGAUCAUUAAAGAAUGCAAGGCCUCACGGCCCUAUUCUCACCCUUUUGUAUACUAAACUUCGUUGCUUUGGCAGGCCCCUGGCUUCGGCUGGAUCGCGCCUGCCAAAGGACCUAAACUCCUGAAUCUUUGAUGUCUGAGUACUAUAUAAUAGUUAAAACUUUCAACAACGGAUCUCUUGGUUCUG